rnacentral:rRNA from 1 species
CAGUCCGUUUCGUUUCGUUUCACGGCACGCAUAUUGUCCAGCCGGGAGGGGUAGUACCUGGUACCACGUUGUAUCAUCAUAUUCUCUCUAGAGUUGCAUGUGCUUUGGUGGGGCAACGUUUGUGCUAUGUGUGCAUGUCGCUCUCUGCUGGUGGGCCCCGCGCGAGUGCUCGCAUGGUAGUUAAAAGCAGUACUACUCCAAGCUCAGGCAUUAACCGAAGCGCGAGUAUCAGCGGCCCGAGACCGGCGACGUGCGCCGGCGCGUCUUCAUGCGGCGAUAGAAGUUGAAACCGCUGAGGGAGCGGCUGCGGCCGUUGGAGCAGCACCUACCGUAGGGCCUCAUGGAGCGGUGCCGCGCGGAUGGCAUACCGUACUGCAUGAAGCCCAUGGGCUGCCCCGCGCAGAGGCUACCGCCGGAGCAGCAGCUGAAGUAGCGCGUCCUCGACCCAGACGGAGACGACGGCGGCAGGUUCCGCGUGUUGCGCAGCAAGGUGGCACCACGGUUAAAGCGCUAGUGGCCGCCGUGCAGCGACCUGUGCUCGAAGAAACUCCGCGCACCCUACUCCGUGUGCCAGACCUUGAGGCCGAGGGACGUGUGGGUCGAGUUCACCAAAGUUCUGUACUUCGGUAGGUAGACGUUGAGCGGUCUUCUCACGUCCCUGGACAAGGCCGCCAGCGACAAGUAGCAGCCGCUCAAACCGCCCUUGCUAAUGCGCCGCCGCGAGCCGCGCAAGGAGGGCCAAGUCUUCCACGUGUGCAAGCACGGCGUGUAGCAGCUGAGGUAGCCGUUCCCUUAGCUCUUCGACUAGCGCCUCCCCCGCCACCUCGACCAACACGGCCCGCACGACGGCUAGCCGACGAAGGGGCACAUGGACAGGUAGAAGGAGUUCGUCGUCGGCCUCUACAUGCCGGGUGCGUCGCCGACGUAGUUCCUGGAAUUGUGCGACAGGACCCACGUGUUGCGGGACGACGUCGCCUUCUAGCGGCCCGAGGCCUUCUUUGUGGGGUCGCACGCGUAGUACAUGCGCCUGAUGAUGUGGCGGCAGUGCGUCAAGCAGGACGUGCGGCUCUUCACCCGAGUAAACACCUCCAACACCUCCGUCUCCACCUCCAACACCGCCACCACCUCCACCUCCACCACCACCUCCACUUCGACGUCCUCAAACCACCUCAAAGGCCGAGGCCAAGGUCACUAACUUCCGGCGGCAAGCAGCAAGCGCGCGUGCGAAGUUCCCACUCGGUUCUACAGACUACAUCACUUGUAGUCUAAAAUGAUGCCAGGACCAUGACAGGUUUGUUGACUCUACCCUCGACUAUACUCACUUAAAUGAGUGUAUCUACACGGUUACUCGCGUGGAGUUUGUACCAGACAGUCAGUCAACUUUCUUACCUAACGCCGUUCAAAUCCAGAACUAUGACUUUGUGUGUGGCAGCCACAAGUACGUAACACCUGUGCCAGUUCAUGUUAUUAAAUGAAAAUAAACUCCGGUUAUCUCGCUCUGAGGCUAACCCACGCCACCAAUGUUCCAACACUUGCUUCCCCUACGUUAGGAUAACGAAAUCACGAAGGGCAGCACUUCCCCCAGUGACGUGUACUUCCGGUUCCACCGUUGCUAGGACCCGUCUCGUCACAUCCAUCCGCCGAUAGAUACAGUUUACGACCUCUACUACCAAUGCUUGUUCCUGUCUCGUCAGUCCAUCUUCCUCCUUUACGAAUACUAAUACUUGGUCCCGUCUUAUCAGUCCAUCUUCCCCCUUUACGGUUACCACUUAUGUUACCGCUCCAACUGCGACUGCUCCAUCUACCCGUGUACGUCCUGGUCUACCUUCUUCUUCUGUGACUACAACUUUCCCCAAUACGGCUACUAAGACCGCUCAGUCUACUUCUUCUUUUACGUCGCCUCCAGGGCUUAGGACGUACCACCUUAGUACUGAAGAGUAGACGUUACUGGCACUUACUACCUGUACUAAGUCGGUCGUCCUCGGAUACCUAUAGUACGCAGAUACAGCCGUAGUGUACUAUGCACCCCCUCACUAGUAGUAGGGCUCCUAGUGUAUGUCCGAGGCUACAGCGUCGUGUGGGUGACCUACUUGUACAAAAGCUGAGGAGGUGGUCCGGGGUGUGUCCUAUGUGUCGUACUGGUCCUUCUCAGACUCUAACGUGGCACAGGGUAAUCCCGUGGACUGUCUACCCCUACCUGCGGCUAAGGUCUAGGCGGAGGGGAGCUCCGGUCUGCAGCAGUGACUACGAAGAUAGAUAGUCAUGUCUGUAAUGGUAGAUAAAUACACACUCUGAAUACAGAUAAGAUACAUACUCUGUUUACUGAUACAUGAAUACAUACUCUGUAUACGGAUGAGAUAAACUCAUGAUAUAAUAGGCUUGAUGUUGUAGUAUAAAUCUAUCUUGUCUUACGAGCAUGUUGUUCUGUCAUGUUUGUUGAUGUAUCUUGAUGUAGAUUUAAUUUGC